GGUGUUCGGCUGCGUCACGGUGGUGGUAGUGUCCGAAGCUGAGCAGUCUUCUGAGAGUGGAGCCUGGUAACCGCGACCUCCCUUCCAGGUCCUGUGUGUUGCUGGAGAAGGGUAGUUGACAAACUCAGACCCAGCGCACUGUUUAUGUCGGUCAAAAAUACAUAAAUAUGGCCAGGCACGACCAAAGCGGGAGGAUCCCUUCAGGCCAAGAGCAGUCUAGCAACAUGGCGCGACCUUGUCUCAGUAGUCCUACCUCAGCUCCCCAGCUACUUGAAGCCCAAGGUUCAAGGCUCCAAUGAGCUAUGGUCCCACCACAGCAUUCCAGCCUGCAAGACUGAGAUGAUGAUGAUUCUCCACCUUCUAAGAGACCAAAGACCAUUGAGACACCACAGCCACCAGUCCCGUAACCUGCCAAUGCUGGGCAACAGAAAGUGAGGGAGUUCAACUCUGGGACCUGCAGAACUGAGCUGUGUCUGAGCCAGGUUCCAUCCAGGCACUGCAGAUCCAUCCAGAGGGAAACCGCCCCAAGUUGCUCGCUAUCCGCUGCCUUCUCAAGCAGACCCUUGUCUCACAAUCCAGUGGAGGAGACGAAACUCAUCUGUCUCUGUCCCUCUGGGCACACCUCAUGCCAGGUGCAUCUGUGGACAUGGGCCAUGCUCCUGGGCUUCCGAAGUUGGAGAAAGCUGCCAGGCUCAGUUCUGAAGACCAGAAUUCUAAAGUAAGUCCCACUGAGGCAAGGUGGGAGCAGGGUUGUUGCCUUCUGAGGCUCUGUGGGCGAAUCUGUCUCCUGGCCCUGGAGCCGGCCUGCACUUCUCAACUUGUGCUGCACGUCCUGAAUGACUGGAGUUUCCUGCUUCCAUCACUACACCUCCUACCCUCUCCAUUACCUUCUCUGCUCUUAUAAGGAUCCGGGUGAGUACAUCAACCCUGCCAGUACAAGCCAGCCAAAGACCCUUAACUUCAUUAUAGCUGCAGAGCCCCUUUUGCCAUAUAAGGUCAUGUUCAGCAGU